GUUGACCUCGAAUCAGGUAGGACUACCCGCUGAACUUAAGCAUAUCAAUAAGCGGAGGAAAAGAAACCAACAGGGAUUGCCCC
rnacentral:rRNA from 1 species